UUAAAAUUCACAAAAAGAGCUCACAAAAAGUAACCAAGUGUAGGAGGCCUAAACCUCUUGUCAAACACAUGCAUCAAAAGGGUAUCAAAAUUCAAAGUCAGGGGGCAAGGAUCCACACAUCAAGGAAUGACAUACAUACUAAAACAUGUGCCCACAUGCAAAGCCUAACGAUACCCACUCUGCCAAAUUCACCCAUAAUACCUCAUACAUUCAGAAAUUUC
rnacentral:lncRNA from 1 species